GUAGGUGGCAAGCGUUGUCCGGAAUUAUUGGGCGUAAAGCGCGCGCAGGCGGUUCUUUAAGUCUGAUGUGAAAGCCCACGGCUCAACCGUGGAGGGUCAUUGGAAACUGGAGAACUUGAGUACAGAAGAGGAAAGCGGAAUUCCACGUGUAGCGGUGAAAUGCGUAGAGAUGUGGAGGAACACCAGUGGCGAAGGCGGCUUUCUGGUCUGUAACUGACGCUGAGGCGCGAAAGCGUGGGGAGCAAACAGGGAUUAGAUACCCUGGUAGUCCACGCCGUAAACGAUGAGUGCUAAGUGUUAGGGGGUUUCCGCCCCCUUAGUGCUGCAGCUUACGCAUUAAGCACUCCGCCUGGGGAGUACGGCCGCAAGGCUG
rnacentral:rRNA from 1 species